rnacentral:tRNA from 1 species
GGAGAGAUGGCUCAGAGGUUAAGAGCACUGGAAGCUCUUCCAGAAAUCCUGAGUUCAAUUCCCAGCACUUGCCA